UCUGUUCUGAUCUAGGGUUUUACAGCUUUCACUUACUCCAUAAGAGUAAGCUCUGCCCCUUCGAGUUUACAGUUUUCAGUUUCUAUUAGAUUUGUUUGUUUUCAUCUAAUUUCCUUUGGCCUAUGAUUAAAAUUCUUAAAUAUAGACAAGCAUAUGUCUGAAUUUUCAUCAUGUUGAAUACCUAAUCUUCUCUAUGAGGCCAAUUACAUCUAUUUUUUUUUUUUAUGUUUUUCUAUCCAGAUUUCUACUUUUUGUGCUCAAUAAUUCAAACAAAAAACUGGGUCAUAUGAUGAUUAGAAGCAUAGUUCAAAUGAAAUCUAUGUGAUUACAAAACUUCUUUUUUAGUCUUUCGCUCCUAUCUGAUGACUCUUUUUAUUACUAUUAAAAAUCUGAUUUUUAAGCAAUUAAUUGUUGUAUUUUUUUUGAAAAAUUGAAAUGGUUAAUGGACAAUGACGAUUUAUCUAUUGGUCUCGUUCGUCGUAAUGGUGUUUAAACCACCUUGCCGACCAUUCUGAUAUAUCACCACCCAUAAACUGAGUCCUAUUACUAUACCUUUUUUUUUGUUUAUUUUUCAAUUUAGUUCUUCGUUUCUGGUGCUGUGAUGAAAAAAAUCUUGUGUCGGAGGCUUUUUGUCGCUGAUGGUUUACACAACCCUCUAAGAAGUUCUGAGCACUUUUUUUGUUUUCAAUUUCAGUAUUUUUUCUGAUUAUUUAGUAGUAGUAAUUGAAUGAUAAGUAAUUUAUUUUGAGGAUGAAUGAAGUGAUGAUAGAAUUCAUAUGUUAAUUCACUGAAUUACAUUUUUAUGAUGUUAAGAGUGAAUCCCGACAGGUUCUGAUCGUUUAUUAGUUAAUUAAUCCUCCAUUAAUUGUGAUUUUGCUUUGUUAAUUUUAUGUCUUGUGGGCAAAUGAUGAAAUUUUUAUAUCGUAAAUGGGUAAUUUGCGUCUGAAUCUUUCUUUGAUGUUAUAACCUUGGAGAACUGAUGCCCUUUAAACUUUUUACUUUGCAUUUUGUUUUCAUAAUGCCAAUUAGCAGAGCAAAGGUGUCUUUCACAAAUGACACACAUUUGCAUUGAAGGUUGGCUAUAUAUAUAUAGCGAUUCUCCGUGCCUUUCAAGCUUUUUUCUCGUAUUGAUUACGGCCUCGAACAAAUUGCUACAUUUUCUCCCUUCACUGUUGUGCUUAUUUGGUACCUUAGUUGCUUUGUUUUUAACGUAGACAAUUUGCAGAGCAAGGGUGUCUUUCAAAAUGACAUACAUUUGCAUUGAAGGUUGGCCAUAUGUAUAGCGAUUCUCCGUGCCUUUCAAGCUUUCUUCUCGUAUUGAUUACGGCCUCGAACAAAUUGCUACAUCCACCAAUUAUUAUGGUACAUUUAUCUAUAAAUUUGGUUAUAUAAAUGACUUGAUCUUGACAAUGAGUUUGUAUUAUCUAAUUUUAGUUUAAGUUUCUUAAUUAUGCAUAAACUAUUAAAUUUGUGAUCUUAGUAGUUACUCUCUGUAGUAAAUUUGUUUAUUAUCAUUGGCCGAUGAUUAAAUUUCUAAUAUAGACAAGCAUAUGACUGAAUUUUCAUUAUGUUGAAUACCUAAUCUUCUCUAUGAGGCCAAUCAUAUUUUUUCCAUAUUGUUAUGCUUCCUGUGUUCAAUAGUUUUAUAAAAAUAGUUUUUUUUUGUGUUGUCAUUGUUUAUAAACGGGUCAUAUGAUGAUUAAAAGCAUAGUUCAAAUGAAUUCUUUGUGAUUAUAAAACAAUCUUUAUAGUCUUUCGCUCCUAUCUGAUGACUCCUUUUUUAUUUGUGUUAAAGGUAUGAUUUGUUUUUGAAAAUUUUGAAAGGGUUAAUGGACUAUGACGACUUAUAUCUAUUGGUCUCGUUCGUCGUAAUGGUGUUUAAACCACCUUGCCGACCAUUCUGAUAUAUCACCACCCAUAAACUGAGUCCUAUUACUAAACUUUGCUAUUAAUUCUUUUAUUUUCCUGUUCAUUUUGAGAUGUAAUGGUUAUUUUUUACUUUUAUGGUGCUUUGAUGAAAAAAUCUUGUGUCGGAGACUCUGGUCUGUGAUGGCUUACACAACCCUCUAAGAAGUUCUGAGCACUAUUUUUUUUUUAUUUCCAAACACGGAGUAUUGUUUUUCUCGCAAGUAUUCAAUUUUUUAAGAUUAUUUGUUAUGUUAAUGUCUUGUGAGGAGUAACGAAGUGAUGAUAGAAUUCAUAAGUCUGUCAAUCCACUGAAAUACAUUUUAUGAUGUAAAGUGUGAAUCCCGACAGGUUCUGAUCGUUAAGUGAAUAAUCCUCCAUUUACUUUUCCUUUUUGCGCUUACUCAUUUUUGAACUUUAGUUUUAUGGGCAACUGAUGAAUCUUAUAUAUCGUAAAUGGGUAAUUUGCGUCUGAAUCUUUUCAUUGAUGCUAUCAACCUUGGAGAACUGAUGCCCUUGAAAAAUUUUAUUUUGUAUUUGAAUGAUUUUGAUGUGGGCUAGUAACUUUUGGAUGAUUGGUCUGAUAAGAGUAUAGGAGUGGGAAAUUAGGGUGAUCAGUGAUGGAGUGUAGGCCUCCCGUGAUGUGCCCUUGUUUCCUAGAGAAUGGCAAGUAACUAAUGUGGGAUCGUGUAACCGACAUUGCAAUCGAUGAUGACAACCCUUCCAAUACGAUUCAACAUCGGUUACUUUUCUACCAACUAAGUUAUGCAGCUGUCUUGGAGAUUGUAAGUUAACAGGCAGUUUUUUUCUGGGAUUUGAUACAUUUGGUCCACCCAUGUUGAACCAAAGAGGAAAUGAUGUGUAUUUAUUGUCAUCUGACUUGCAUUCCAUAUGUGGAUGUUAAAGUGGUGAAUGAUUCAUUAUAACUGAUCCUCUCAGUGUAAGUUGAAAAUAUCGUUUUGAUUAUGUUAAAUAUGUUCAGAAGAUUGCUUAUGAAAAGUAUUGUCUUUUAUUUAUUUGUGAUCAUUGGCUUGUUGUGUAGUUUCCUAAUUCACCAAAGAAGAUGCAGCUGAUAGAUGUAAAUUUAGAGUUUGAGACGUAGCAACAGAAAAAUUCUAUUGGAAGGCUUGUUAGUUGUAAAUUAUACUGAUGUAUUAAAACCUAUGUCAGAAUGUAACUGGCUCCAUAUUUAUUUGAAAGUUGUAAAUUUUAACCAAAAUUGAAAGGUAAAUGUAAUGCAAAUUUACAAAAAAAUUACAGGUUUGAAAUAUUUAUUGACAAUUUUUUCACCGAGGAAGUUGGCAUCACCCUCUUGGGCGAUUAUUAUUGACUAUUGUAAAUAGUUGCUUGAAACCAACAGUCACAAAUGUAAAUUGUGACUGGGUUAUUAUUAUUGAAUAUUGUUAGUAGUUGCUCGACUUUAACUAAAUUGUGACCAAGUGAAGAUUGCAAAAUAUUAAGAACUUGCUAAAUUGUAAAGUGGUGUUUAAAAAAAUGAAGUUUCUUUCUCUAGAAACUUGUAUAAAAUUAAUCAAGUAGACGACAUAUAUCUUAAGUGCUUAUUUGUGCACAUCAAAAGUUAAGGAUUAUAAUUUUCAACUGACGUUAAGUUAAGAGUCAUCUUUAUGUGUUAAUACCUUAGUUAUGCAUAGAUUACUUUUUAUGCAUUGUUUGAUUUGUUGUAUUAAAAAUAAUAUGCAUAGUUUAAAAAUAUUAAUUUACAAAAUUUGGCCAGAAAAUUGAAGUCUAUAUGAUAUUUUUUUAAUUUUAAAAUCAAUCAAUCUUUUUUUCAUUUUUUAAUUAAAAGGUAUUAAAGUUAAAAAGAUAAAAUAAUAUAGGUUAUCAUUUUGGCUAUAUUCUGGCCAAAUUUUUUGGCCAAUAUGGUGGAAAUAAAAGAUCUUUAACCACCACAUCUAUUAAAUUUCUUUGCAUUAUUAAUGCCUAGAAGAAUACAUUCUUCAAUAACUAAUAGCAUGAAAAAAUAUACCAAACAAGGGAUUACUAUUACAAAGAGCUAAUGCAUGCAUUAUUUUUGCUAGUACUCUACGAACAACCCCUUAGCGUCCACUGGAUAUCUAGAAAAUCAAAAAAAAAAAAUGGCAGAUGAAAGUAUACCAAGGCUUGAAUACAACCAAUGACAACAUAUCCAGUGAAAUUUUACAACUGGAAUUUGAAGAGGAUGUGUACAAAACCUUACAUCCUCAGCUCAAGUAAGUCAAAUGCCUGCUAAUAUACAUUACAUCCUACCUCAAAAUAGACAUAUUACACUACUAUGCCAAACAAUGAAUAGAUAAUCACUUUUACAUUUUCAUAUCAAUUCCAAACAGAAAAGAAGGAAUUGUGACUUUAAGUUUUCAGGCUAAAUAAGUUAUUGAGGCACUGUUAUAUCACUUGUACUCUCCUGCUUGUCGACAGCACAACCUUCAGGAAGAACUGUUCCGCCAAUUCUUUUUGGAGGCCAAUACCGAAAUAUGGACCUGCCUAUUAUGUUCUUCGCAGGAAGUGCUCCCCUGAUAAAAAAAAAUGAUUCAGAUGUAAGAUGAGCAUAUUUAACGAACUAGCAGUUUAUAGAAGACGCUGCAACUUUUCAGAGAGCGGAAAACUCACCACACAUGGGAAUCAUAGCUGUUAUUCCGAUUAUCACCCAUAACGAAAACUGAAUUCUCAGGUACACGCUGCAGUAAGACAUGGAUAAGAAACAGUAAGAACAGUAUGCAUUCUUACACUAAGAAAUUAAACAACAGACUUUGGCCACAAUCAAUGUUGUCCCACCCGUGUUGGAUCCUCCAAAAUGCACUACUUUUGGACAAUCCGACACACAUAUAUUGAUGUUUUAUGAAGAGUCCAAGCAACAUAGCCCACUGCUAUGAUGGUUUUAGGUAGUCAAGUCUGGAUGAGCCAAUAUUUUUGUUUAUUCGAAACUUCCUAAGAAAAUGAAUUGGAGGAAAGCUGAUUGUUGAGUUAAAUGAAUCAGUAGAAAUGGAACAUACCACUGGUGUCAUUUCGUAUUUGGGUGCCUCGUUUAUAAAAUCUUCAUUUCGCGCAACUCCAUUUACGAUCAGCUUUCCUUCAUGAACCUGCACUACCAAGAAUCACCAAAAUAUUUCCUUAUAUAUUCCUGGCAAUUUGGCCAUAUAUUUGGUAAUACAAAUUACUCCUCCCCCUAUCCAAAAUAAACCGGAAGAAAGACAUAAACCAACGAUUUAAAUGUAUGGAGAUUCAUCACGGAGAGGAUGAGAGGGAUCUUGUUUUAGUAAAUGAAAGGCAGACUUCCCUUGACCAUCCUUUUCUAUAUUCGGAUUUAGAACCUAAUUAUAACACUUACACAGGUUGAAUAUUUGAGUUAUCUUUCGGAUGUUUAAGAAUGAAUAAAUGAAAGUAAUAUUGCAAAGUCUAAAACAGGAUUUCAGUUAAGUGGACAGUAUCUUCCAUAAUUGUCUCUGAAUCUGAACCAUUGUAUUUUAUUAAAAAAAGAGAGGCGGAGUUCAAGUUUAUGAUUAAAAUGGCGGAUUUUAUGGCUUAAGAGAACUAGCAGAAUAUUUCAAGGCAGCAGAAGAAACAUACAUAGCCUUAAACAAAGAUGAAUAUUUUUGCUAGCUUUUUGGUGCAACCUGGAAUUGUAUGUCAUGAAGAAGCAAUCCUAGACACAAUAGAGGAUCUGCACAAUCUGUAAUUACGUUUGUGGCACAGCUUAGUGCACGAAUUUAUAUAAUCUUUGGUUACUUAAUAAGAAAAAGGGGAGCAAUUAGAUGCCAAAAAACCUUGUUGAGGACUAUCUCAUGAGUGGAACCAAAUGGCGGAGAAGCAUGCAAUUUGACAACGCCCAUUGAUGUUGCAAUUCUAUCAUAGACCACUUGGGUAAUGCCGAUGGUUAUAUAUCAAUAUCUAUGUAGCGCUAUUGGAAAAGAUUCGAAAAAGACAUGAUAAAUCAACAGAGGGGGAAUGGCGGAGAGAAGAUACAUUACCCAAACUGAGAGUUUUUACAAAAAGGUCUGUUCCCUCAAUAUACUGAUUGGAUCGACAAGGUCAGUGUAUGGUUUUGACAAAGAGAUAAACAUGCAGAUAUUGAAAGACUUGACUCUUGUUGGUGAGAGAGAGUAGCAGAAAUGAAAUACGAGGGUAUUAUCACCCAAAGGCAUUCUAUCAACCAAUUCAGCUGCUUCUAUAGCCAUUUAGGUGGGGUGAGGGAGACUCAACAAAGCAUGAAAUAGUGGUGGCUAUGAAAUACCAAUUGAUCAGUCAAAUCAAGCAGUUCAAGUCCACAGCAAUUAAAAUAUAGUAUUAUUGCUUCUAUUAUCUAGUGAACUCACCUCGACAAUAUCACCUUCCUUUGCAACAAUCCUCUUGAUAAAGACAUCGUCAUCCGUGUAUCCUACCUCCUGAAGAACUGGUGGACUUUUGAAUAUUACUAUGUCAUUGGGACAUGGCUUUCUAAAAUAGUAACUGACCUGCAAACCACAAGAUCGACAUAGUUACGAACAAAAAUGACUUCAAAAUAAUCGAUAUAAGAUGGAAAGAACAGACUCUACAGGAGGUUUAAACUUUAUUUCAAUAAGAUUCUGUAGGAGGCUUAAGCAUAUGUUCAUACCCUCAGCUAGUCUAUGAUUGCAACACAAGUACACAUAUCAUUAACUUCAAACACUAAUACAAGAACGACGAUGCAAUUUGCGGGUAGUUCUCUUACACCUAGUAAAAGGUGAUUUGAUGCACCCCCAAGGCCUAGCUCAAGUGGCAAAAGGUGGAGGAUUUGUGGCUUAGGUCGCAGGCCCAAGCCCCACACCACGCAAAGCGAAGCCUGGUAUUUAAGUGGAGAAGGGUAGAGGGGCGGGCCCAUUAUCCACCGAUUUUAGAAGGCUGUGAUUGGUCCAAAGGGCAGGUCACACACGGAUUUCUUGGUUAUCAAAAAAAAAAAGGUGAUUUGAUGCGCCCCCAAGGCCUAGCUCAAGUGGCAAAAGGUGGAGGAUUUGUGGCUUAGGUCGCAGGUUCAAGCCCCAGACCAUGCAAAGCGAAGCCUGGUAUUUAAGUGGAGAAGGGUAGAGGGGCGGUCCCAUUAUCCACCGAUUUUAGAAGGCUGUGAUUGGUCCAAAGGGCAGGUCACACACGGAUUUCUUGGUUAUCAAAAAAAAAAAAAAGGUGAUUUGAUGCAUUUACAAUUGAUAGUAACAGCAAAUUGAUCACUAAUCACUAAAAGUUACUACAAUCCUAAAAUCAUAUUCAAAGUUAAACUAUUUCAUAUUUUAACGUCUAUACUUUCUGAUACUGACAUUUUCAUUUCAAAUUCAACAUUUAGGUCCAGGAGGGACCAAGAAGCAUAAACUCCACAACAAUAUUGUACUCUACAUUUCAAUUGUCUCCAACAAUUGAUUCCCUUACAUUUCAGUUUGUCCCCAACAUCCAAUGUUGGAAACUAAAUCAACUGUCACUAGUUUAUUCAGAAGGAUAUAUUCAGCAAAAGAAGUGUCCAACUUAUAAAUCAAUUAUGCUUCAAUCUUGAACUAGUCGGCGUUAGCUUAUAUAAACCACUCGUAAUUUGAUGAUUCAUCAUAGUUAGGCUGUCUUUACACUACUUCAACAUACUUCCUUUAUCCAAACUUGAGACCGACUAUCCUAAGCAAAGUUGAACUUCAUUGGCAUCCAAAGGUACAAAUUCACAAACAUAUAGUCAAAAUAAAACAAAUUACUUUUCAGCUACAAGUUUCCAAAUCAAUUGUCAACUGUCACUAUUUAAAUCAGAACAAUAUAUUCAGCAAAAAGGUGUCCAACUUUAUCAACAUCUUAUAUAGAGUAUCAAUUAUGCCACUAUCGGAAACAACCUCUCUACCCAACAAAGGUAGGGGUAAGGUUUACAUACAUCCUACCCUCCCCAUACGGCCAUACCCCACUUGUGAGACUACACUGGGUAUGUUAUUGUAUUGCUUCUAUCCGAAACUAAUCGGGUUCAGCUUAGAUGAUUCAUCACAGUUAGACUAGUUCAACACUGGCAUUCAACCUACCUUAAAUCUCCUCCUUUACCCAAACUCAAGCCUAACUAUCCUUGUGAAGUUCAACUACAUCAACAAUAACAGCAACAACAACACUACUACUAUGCCUCAGUUCCAAUAUGAAGUCAGUUAUAUGAAUCCUCACUGCUUCACUUAAGUUUAACUCAUGUCAAAACAACAAAUUCACAAACAUAUAGUAAAAAAAAAAAAAAAAACUUUACUUUUCAGCAACAAUUCUAUCUCCACAGCAAAUGUGGGAUACAUGGACAAGGAACUACAACAACUAUUACUACUACUAAUGUUGCUUCUGCUGCUGCUGCUGCUACUACGCCUCAGUCCCAAUUUGGGGCCGGUUAUAUGAAUCCUCACUGCUUCAUUUAAGUUCAACUCAUGUCAAAAUAACAAAUUCACUAACAUAUAGUCAAAACAAAACAAAAAUUUACCUUUUCAGCUACAAUUAUAUCUCCAACAUAAGAUGUGGGAUACAUGGACAAGGAACAACAACUACUGCUACUACUACUGCUGCUAAUACAACUAAUGCUAAUACUAAUACUCAGUCCCGAUUUGGAGUCAGGCAAUAUGAAUACUCAGCUCAUAUAAGUUCAACUCAUGUCAAAAGAACAAAUUCACAAACAUAUAGUCAAAAUAAAACAAAAAUUUACCUUUUCAGCUACAAUUCUAUCUCCAACAUCAAAUGUAGGAUACAUGGACAAUGAAGGUAUAAACCUUGGUUCAGCCACAAAUGACCUAAAUGCAAGUGAUAUAGCCACUGCCACAAAAACAGUUUUUGCAUCAUCUGAAGUAAUAUUCACCCAUUCUGGCAAAACCCCAUUUUCCUUCUCAGAUUGCUCAUCAUCUCCACCACCACCACCACCAUCUCCGCCGCCGUCACUGCCUCCGCCGUCACGGUCCAAAACCGUUUUUGUCUCAUCUUUAACCCCUUUACACUUGAACCUCUGAUUUUGAGAUUUGCUACAUCUAAAACACUUGAAAGUUAGAAUCUUUGAGGUUUUUAUGAAAGAUUUGAAAUGGGUGUCAUUGAAUUGAAGGGUUUUAGAUAAAGGGUUGGAAUUGAAAGGUGAAAAUUGUGGGGAUUUUGAAGGUAUUGAAGAAAAUGGAGAGAGGAACUGUAGAGUUAUCAUUGGAUUUAGUGUAACUUUUUUAUCUGCAACAAUUUUACAGAGUUUCUUGAUUCCUAUAUGUGUUGAAUUCGAAUUGGUAGUUAAUAACAAUGAGUUCUUUCCUUUUUCAAGAAAAAAUUAGUGCCCGAAUACACACUUAAACUAAUAUAAAGUUGAAUAUAAAGGUACAUGCAUUCUACUUGGCAUUUUACGAUAAGUGUAUUUCAUGUAAAUUAUCACGUAAUAUGCAACGUAGGAUGCAUUUAGCUAUUUGUUCAACUUUAUAUAAAUCUGAGUGUCUAUUUAUGCACGUUUAAAGUUGAAAGGCAUAAAUAUUAAUUGAAAUCAAGUUAACAUCGUGUUUGGAUGAUUGUUACCUAUUGUAUUGUUAGUUUAAAUACAAUGUUUGUUUUGAUUGUAACUUAAAUUUUAUUGUAUCGUUUAAAUUCAUCGUUAGAUAAUGACAAAAAGACCAAUUUUAUGUAACGAUAGAUUUGGUGUGAUCGUGUCGUUACCUUAACAUUUUCUUCUCAUUUUGUCUUUGUUUAUUAUUUAAUAAUUAUAUUUUAUCUUUUAUCCUACCUUUUCAUAGUAUCUCUACCUCAUAUCCAACUUCUUUUGUAGGUUUAUCAUUCAAAUUAUAGACCAGUAGCAUUAUGUAAUGACGGAGAACGAUACAAUAUAUUCAAAUAAUGUAUUCAUUAGAACAAAUACAAUACAAUGAUAUAUAACAAAAUACAAUAGAAUAUAUUAUGAAACAUUACGUAACAAUCAUCCAGCAUACUAAUUGCUUCUUAAAUUCAUUCAUUAGCCUAAUAAUUUUUUGGAAAAAUUACCUAUAUACACACCUUUAUUUUCCAUAAUUUCCAUUAUUCCCUACCAUUUUAAAAUAUUUUCAAAAUCCCUUAUUAUUCCCCAAUUCUCAAGUCAGCCGAUACAUUACUCCUAACACAACAAACCCACUUUUCCCUUCCUAUUUUUGCUCCUUAAAUCUCUCCCUUAUUUCACUCCCAUAAUCUGAUCAGUUACAUCCUUCAUCCCAAUUUGAAUUUCAAAAGGUUUCUCUCUCUAAUAUCAAUCAAUUUCAAAUCACUGAAUAUGUAGUUUUCAUCUUCUCAAUUCUACUAUUCUUCGAUUUUUCUUGAAGUUUUCAUCUUCUUCAUCUAGCAUUUGAAUUAAACUCAUCUAAGAUUAAUAAUACUAGUGCUUAUGAGAACGACGUAGUUCCUAAUUUCUUUGUCAUUGCUGAUUUCAGUCCCCAAUAUUAGUCUUAUUUUUAUGUCGAGGCAAAUUUUUCUGAUUUAUUUUUGGUGGGGGUGUACUUGGAUAUUCUUCCAACAUAACAGGAGAAACAGAAAAGACUGAUGAUCAAUCCAAAAUAAACAAUAUUAGUUCAUCAAGUUAUAAUGAGUAUUAGAUAUAAAUUUUUGACAUAUGUUUGAUAUUGCCCUUUGUUAGUUGUUUCAAGAAUCUGAUAUAUUAAUGGCAAAGUGUUGUUCUUGUAUUGUCAUGUAUCAUAAGUUAAAUAUAUUAUAUCAAUACAUAAAAUUCUAAUUUUGUUCUCUUUUUGAAUAGGUGUCAUGAAUGGGAUGUAAUAUGCAGAAUGUUAUAUCAUAUACAUAUAACUAUACAUGAUACAUAAAUAUUACAUAAUGAGUAUAUGAAGUUAUAAUUAGUAUCAAAUAUAAGUUUUUGAUACAUUUGCAGUUUAUCAAGUUGUAAUGAGUAUCAAUAUCAGAUACACAGUUAAAAUACUUUAUAUUUGCUAUUAUCAUAUACUUGAAUUUUAAUAUGUAUCAAAUUCAAAAAUUUGUUGAAAUGUAUCAAAUUCACACAUAAGAUACAUUACAAGUUACUAAUUUAAUUGUUUGUCAUUUUGUUUAGAUUAUGUGCGUACACGAUAUGCAACCCUAUUAUGAAAAAACGGUAUUGAAAAG
rnacentral:lncRNA from 1 species